AUUAUCCCACGUCUUGCCUUCAUACCAACUGUAAUCAUCCUGAAUUGCACUCAUGAUUCAAUUCUCUUAAUCAAAAAGGAAAAUAACGACAUAAUGAAAAAAAACUAAAAUCAGAAUAAUAAAUAAAAAAAUUAGAACAUUAUCUAACUCAUUCGUCUUUUGACUAAUAUUAUUCAAAAAAGUAAUUGAUUCAACAACAAUUAUCACCAUCGCAAUCCCCGAAAACAACGUCAA
rnacentral:lncRNA from 1 species